ACAGUACGAUUUGAACGCUUUUUUCAAAUUUUCUAUUAUUAUUUUGAAGUAUUGGAAGUUGGAGUUUUGCAGUGCGUCAUCACCAAACAGCUUGUGUGGUACGGUCAUGUCCAUAUGAUGACGGAAGAGAGGCUGCCGGAAAAGAUGCUUGAUUGGGUUCCUCCUGGGAGUAGACGAAGGGGACGCCCGGCGAAAGGGUGGCGACAGAGGGUUUUGGAUUUGCUGAGGAAGUUCCAACUCCCUGAUGGGUUGUGGGAGGACCAAGUUGAUUGGCGUCGCAGAGCGCCAGAGAGCGCUGUGAGAAUCACUCAAAAAGAUCUAGAAAUUAAAUGCACUGGCAACAGCUUAUAUGUAAUUAGAGAUGGAAAAAACUCAAGGAACCGUAUUAUUACGUAACAACAAAAUAUUUUCAAUGUUUUGGAACCCGCAUCCUGCAUUCACGGGCUUUAAAGUUUUUGUGACGAAUCGUUGCCCGUGCGCCCCUGCGCUUUAUGUAUUCAUUUUGUUUCGUGAGUUAUACAAAAUCUACAAAUAUAUAUGAAACGACCUCUUUAGCCUCAUAAUUUUAAUUACUGGCGAUUUUUUUGUGUAUGCUGCUCAAGAAGAAGAUUCAGAUCCCACGCAUUUGGAUAUUAAAUUUUAUUUUCUAUAAAAAAAGAAGAAGAUACAUCUGAAAGCAAUUCGUGUUAAUGCAUAGGUUUAUGGCAAAAAAAUUACUUCCUUCACUAUGCCAAUCCUAGCGCUUUAAAGAAGACAAUCUGCGAAGAAUUGGCUAAUAAAUGUGAAUAGAAAUUUCGUACUUCAAAAGCUCCACCAUUGAAUUUGCGUGUAUAAUACGUCAAAUCAAUCAGGUGAGCCUGAAUCUGAAAUGGAUACAAGAACCUCACAAUCGUAGAGGUGUGAUUUAAAAAUUAGAAGUUUGUUUAAGGUAUCAAAAGAAGAUGAAAAAAGUAACGUUCCACGCAGAUGGAGUAACCCUCAAAAACAUCAUGGCAAUUAUGGGAUCACUUAUCGUAUAUGGUAGUAGAAGCUAUUCAGCUGAUACUGGAUCACAAGAUGACUCAGAAGUAAAUUUUCAAGAUUUAUAUAAUGCAGCAUUACGACAUCAGGACUUGAUUCCGGAUAUCAUUUCAAAAGCUCCCACGCACAGUUAUUUGAGGUAUCGUUUAUUCAUAAGAAAUUCUCUUUUAAACUAGGAAACAUAUUGCUGCCUGCAGCUUUGAAAUAUCCUCCAUUUUUUAUAGAUUGGCCAACAAAAAAAGACACACUUUACACGAUGCUAAUGAUAGAUCCAGACAUGCCAUCUCGACAUGAGCCUUCUCUUCGGGAAUGGAACCACUGGCUUCUGGGCAACAUGGUCGGCCCUGACCUAUCCACCGGUGACGUAAUCGCUCAGUAUAUUUCACCUGAACCACUGCAAGAUACAGGUUACCAUCGAAUUACUUUCCUUGUUUUUGAACAGCCUAGGCACAUACAUUUUACCGAGCCACCGCUGGAAUUUGAUCGUAACGAUACGCGGAGGACUCAUUUCUCUUGGCGAAAGUUUGCCGAAAAGUACGAGUUGGGAGAUCCAAUCGCAAUCAACUUUUGUUUGACUGCCUUUAACAAGACUGCCAUUGAAGGAUUCGAUGAUGUUCGCGAAAGCUCUACCCCAAAGGAUCAAUUAAUUUCAAGCUAACGAUAAAAAAAAUAAUGAAUUGCGUGGUGUUGGCGUGGUCAAAAAGGAUUUGUGGGUAUAUUAUCGUAUUCCGGGUAAACGUCACUAUUUUUGUUUCUAUUCUUGAGUUAAUUGUAGUAUCUCAUCAAAUAGAGAGACUAUCCAUAGAAAUUGAUAGCAAAUUAAUGGGUCACAGGAUUAUUCCAGGUCUUUUAGAUGUCUCUCCGAAUAAAACAAUAGGAAAAUUUAGUGAUUAUACACAGAUAAGAAAAAUAAUAACUUUCAUGACUUGGUUCGGUGGACGCUCCUCCAACGUCUAAACGUUGGAACCGGCUGCUCGUUUUAUUUUUAUACUAAUUUAUGUCUUUGCUUACUCUGAUUCCUCUUUUAUUCAUAUUUCAUGUAACUCUGUAACUUUAUCUCAUCUCUACACCUCUAAAAGUGUCUGUAAAACUGUUUAAAUUUUUUACGCUGUUCAAAUGAAUUGCAAAAAAACCUUUUUGUGGUCUGCGCAAACAAGUGUAUAUGAGGACUUAUCUGUAACAAAAGCGGAUGUCGAGUUUUCACAUUGUGAGAAAAUCGCGUUUGAAGUUUUCGAAGCUUUGCAUACUUUGUCGCCCGUAGAACCGAGAGGAUCCUUGUAACGAUUUUCAUAAAGAGCAACCCUUCCUGUAAAAAAAACACGUUUUGCGAUCUAUGUAAGUGAAAAAUGUAGGAGUAACAGCGAUUUGAAAAAAAUGUGACAUCCGCUGUUUUUACUGAAAACGUUUUUUUAUGCAUGAAACAAAGUCUUCGGGAGGGUUAAGGCUAGUGAAACGAUUGAAAUGAACCAAAAGUAAGCCAACGCUGAGUCAUUUAAUACAAUUGAACAAAAAACUGCGGACCGUUUGUAACUUUUAGAACAAAAAUAAGGAACAAAUUAUAAAAUCAGUUAAAAAAUCAACAAUUCUGGCGAGAUGGUCCCGAUACGUAUAAUUUGAGUGUCAGCUAUAGCCCAUGGUCGGUAUGCGGGCAGUUAUCGCAAGUGGAUUCGAAUCUCUACCAUGUCCUGCCGCGCCGGCGGGGGAGAACAAGGGAUUCUCACAUCCGCUGUUUUUAGAAAUAACGCGUGGUUUUCAGUUCAUAUCUCACCGAAAAAUUGUCCUGGAAGUCUGAAACUAUGCACAGGCAUUUUUGAGGGUUCCAGAAUUCGAAAAAAAGCGUUUGCCCUAAAAAUGGUGGAUGUCAGCGACCGCUGUUGUUACAUAUAAGUCCUCAUAUGUAUACUUAUGUAGGACCUAAUUAAAAAACUAAAUUAAAAAAGUA